GAUGAAGAACGUAGCGAAAUGCGAUAAGUAAUGUGAAUUGCAGAAUUCAGUGAAUCAUAGAAUCUUUGAACGCACAUUGCGCCCCCUGGUAUUCCGGGGGGCAUGCCUGUCCGAGCGUCAUUACAACCCUCAAGCUCAGCUUGGUGUUGGGCCCCGCCGCCCCGGCGGGCCCUAAAGUCAGUGGCGGUGCCGUCCGGCUCCGAGCGUAGUAAUUCUUCUCGCUCUGGAGGUCCGGUCGUGUGCUCGCCAGCAACCCCCAAUUUUUUUCAGGUUGACCUCGGAUCAGGUAGGGAUACCCGCUGAACUUAAGCAUAUCAAUAAGCGGAGGA
rnacentral:misc_RNA from 1 species